UACGUAGGGUGCAAGCGUUGUCCGGAAUUAUUGGGCGUAAAGAGCUUGUAGGCGGUUUGUCGCGUCUGCUGUGAAAUUUCGGGGCUCAACCCCGAACUUGCAGUGGGUACGGGCAGACUAGAGUGUGGUAGGGGAGACUGGAAUUCCUGGUGUAGCGGUGAAAUGCGCAGAUAUCAGGAGGAACACCGAUGGCGAAGGCGGCUCACUGGGGGUUUUCUGACGCUGAGGAACGAAAGCCAGGGUAGCGAACGGG
rnacentral:rRNA from 1 species